rnacentral:rRNA from 1 species
GACGAACGCUGGCGGCGUGCUUAACACAUGCAAGUCGAACGGAAAGGCCCUGCUUUUGUGGGGUGCUCGAGUGGCGAACGGGUGAGUAACACGUGAGUAACCUGCCCUUGACUUUGGGAUAACUUCAGGAAACUGGGGCUAAUACCGGAUAGGAGCUCCUGCUGCAUGGUGGGGGUUGGAAAGUUUCGGCGGUUGGGGAUGGACUCGCGGCUUAUCAGCUUGUUGGUGGGGUAGUGGCUUACCAGGGCUUUGACGGGUAGCCGGCCUGAGAGGGUGACCGGCCAGAUUGGUACCGAGAUACGGACCGGACUCCUAAUAGAGGCAGCAGUGGGGAAUAGUGGACAAUGGGCUGAAGCCUGAUCUAGUAACCCCGCGUGCGGGAGGACGGCCUUCUGUGUGUAAUCCGCUUUCGCCUGUGACGAAGCGAGAGUGACGGCAACGGGUAAAGAAGCACCGGCUAACUACGUG